rnacentral:ncRNA from 1 species
GUCUGUUUCCCCGCUUGCACCCGUCCGGGUGGGCUACGACCCUUGAGGUAGGGGAAACAAUCACUUCUACGAGGC